rnacentral:rRNA from 1 species
CCUACGGGGGGCUGCAGUGGGGAAUAUUGGACAAUGGGGGCAACCCUGAUCCAGCCAUGCCGCGUGUGUGAAGAAGGCCCUCGGGUUGUAAAGCACUUUCAGUGAGGAAGAACGCCUGGUGGUUAAUACCCAUCAGGAAAGACAUCACUCACAGAAGAAGCACCGGCUAACUCCGUGCCAGCAGCCGCGGUAAUACGGAGGGUGCGAGCGUUAAUCGGAAUUACUGGGCGUAAAGCGCGCGUAGGUGGCUUGAUAAGCCGGUUGUGAAAGCCCCGGGCUCAACCUGGGAACGGCAUCCGGAACUGUCAAGCUAGAGUGCAGGAGAGGAAGGUAGAAUUCCCGGUGUAGCGGUGAAAUGCGUAGAGAUCAGGAGGAAUACCAGUGGCGAAGGCAGCCUUCCGGACUAACACUGACGCUGAGGUACGAAAGCGUGGGGAGCAAACAGGAUUAGAUACCCUAGUAGUC